rnacentral:rRNA from 1 species
UACGGGGGGGGCAAGCGUUGUUCGGAAUUACUGGGCGUAAAGGGGUCGUAGGCGGCCAACUAAGUCGGAUGUGAAAUCCCCAAGCUUAACUUGGGAACUGCAUCCGAUACUGGAUGGCUUGAAUCCGGGAGAGGGAUGCAGAAUUCCAGGUGUAGCGGUGAAAUGCGUAGAUAUCUGGAGGAAUACCGGUGGCGAAGGCGGCAUCCUGGACCGGCAUUGACGCUGAGGAGCGAAAGCUAGGGGAGCAAACGGG